UGAAUGUAAAAUCAUGGGGAGCCUUGAAGCCUUCUAAUGCAAAUAAUGCUGGAAAUGAUCGUUGGAUUUCAGUAACACUUGAACAUGAGGAACACAUAAAAGAUAAUCAGCGUUUAUUUGCAAGGAUGGAAUUGAAGGAAUCGGUGAGAGAGGCAGAUAAAGGAG